rnacentral:rRNA from 1 species
AGAGUUUGAUCCUGGCUCAGAUUGAACGCUGGCGGCAUGCUUUACACAUGCAAGUCGAACGGCAGCACGGGCUUCGGCCUGGUGGCGAGUGGCGAACGGGUGAGUAAUGCAUCGGAACGUACCGUGUAGUGGGGGAUAACGUAGCGAAAGUUACGCUAAUACCGCAUACGCCCCGAGGGGGAAAGUGGGGGACCGCAAGGCCUCACGCUAUAUGAGCGGCCGAYGUCGGAUUAGCUAGUUGGUGGGGUAAAGGCCUACCAAKGCGACGAUCCGUAGCGGGUCUGAGAGGAUGAUCCGCCACACUGGGACUGAGACACGGCCCAGACUCCUACGGGAGGCAGCAGUGGGGAAUUUUGGACAAUGGGCGCAAGCCUGAUCCAGCCAUGCCGCGUGARUGAAGAAGGCCUUCGGGUUGUAAAGCUCUUUCAGACGGAAAGAAAUCUCUUGGGCGAAUACCCUGGGAGGAUGACGGUACCGUAAGAAGAAGCACCGGCUAACUACGUGCCAGCAGCCGCGGUAAUACGUAGGGUGCGAGCGUUAAUCGGAAUUACUGGGCGUAAAAGCGUGCGCAGGCGGUGAUGUAASRCASAKRUKKRAAUCC